rnacentral:lncRNA from 1 species
CUCGGGUUUUUCCCUAUGAUAAUAGAACCAUGCGGUUUAACGUCUCGGGUGUUUUCCUUAUGUAAUAAUAGAACCAUGUGAUCUGAGAACCGGAAAAACGUAUUUAACCAUCAUUCAUGAUAUAUUUUUUUCAUAAACAACUUUAAAUAUGUGAAAUUUGGCUAGUACAGACGAGAUUUGACUCUAAUAAUAAUCUCAUUUAGUUUAGCUUUCUAUUAUUUCGAUUGAAGAACCCCAAAGACUUUUUAGGAAUAUAGUUUUUGUCUCCAAAAAAGGCGCUUAACUGUCCUUGUCAUUUUUUGGUCUUUGGCUCGUUUUGACAUUUUGUAAACAUGACUUCAGCGAUUUGUUGUUUUGUUCUAUGAAUUAAUGGUACUCUAUACUGUUAUUCUUGCCACACCGUGAUGAAGUUAUAAUAAUACAAGAAGUGCAGAGGAAAUGCCUGAAAUGUCCUCUGAUACGGAACGUCUGGAAUAAGUAUGGUAUCGACCAAGACCCAAAUUUAAUGUACAAAAAAAAACAUGAACAUGAACACGGCAACAGUACCAGUUUAAACAUUGUAAAUAAAUUUAACGGUUAACUUAAAUAUUGUUCGGGUUGGAAGAAGUUAUUGUAUAUUCAUUGAAAUUGAAAUUACAAAAUCACAGGAACAAUACCCAUGAUUUUAUUUAAAAUCAUAAAGGUAAGUACAAACAUCUCUUUGCCAAAAUAUACUGAUACAUUUUUUUUUUUACAAAAGUCCAUUUAAAUGGCCCACUCAUUUGACAACAUGGCCCAUUAUUUUUUAAAA